rfam:Parcubacteria group bacterium RIFCSPLOWO2_01_FTLL_48_18 rifcsplowo2_01_scaffold_830, whole genome shotgun sequence.
GAUAUGCUUAUUAUAUAUCCGCAGACAGCAGGUUGUCGUCCGUCAGCUGGCGGAGGCAUAAAUCCUGCCGAGGAAUUCGGUAAACUUAUUAUCUUAUAGAUGAUGGUUUACUAAUAGGAUUCGCUGCGGAUAGAUAUCCGCUUUAUUUUUUUGAAA